AAGGGCACCACAAGAACGCGUGGAGCAUGUGGCUUAAUUUGACUCAACGCGGGAAAUCUUACCGGGUCCGGACACACUGAGGAUUGACAGGUUUAUAUAGUAAAAUGACUUGCUUAUUUUAUCAUAAAAUAUGCUAGUCCUUUCAUGAUUGUGUGAUAGGUGGUGCAUGGCCGUUCUUAGUUCGUGGAGUGAUCUGUCUGCUUAAUUGCGUUUCACAAGCGGUAUAAAAAAGGUUGACCACAUCUGUUCUAGCUUGUCUAGUUACAGUGUACUUCCUACAAAAAACCGCGAAGGCAACGAACGUGACCGCAACCCGUUGUUGCCUCUCUAACCAUAAUACUUGUGGAUCCUACGCUUUCGGGCUAGCCCAUAAUGUAUAGUAGAGGGAAACUACGGGGACUGCUGAUUCUUUUCAAAACAGAGGAAGGUUGCGGCAAUAACAGGUCUGUGAUGCCCUUAGAUGUUCCGGGCUGCACACGUGCUACAAUGAUUAGUGCAGUAAGAAUCUUCAACAGCUUAGAAACAUUUGUGCGAAACACCCUCGGGUGUCGAGCCUUUUGUUUUACUUCGCCUACUUCGAAAGUAAGCAGGUAAUCAAUUCGAAGUACUGAUUUCCAUUUCAAGCGCAUGUAUGAGCAUAUCACUUCACCUUGUGUGUUGUAAUAUGUUUUGCCUUAAUUUUAUUUCUUGGUGGGGACAGACCCUUGUUAAUUAUUGGUCUCGUUUUCAACUAGGAAUGCCUUGUACGGGUCUUUGGUUCAACAAACCACCCGGAAUAUGUCCCUGCCCUUUGUACACACCGCCCGUCGCUCUUACCGAUGGACUAUUCUGUGAGUUUGAGGGACUGCUGCUUUUAUCAGCACUUGUGUUGGUUAAGCGGCGGAAACUUAAACGAACAGUGUGGUCUAAAGGAAAGAGAAGUCGAACAAGGCA
rnacentral:rRNA from 1 species